rnacentral:rRNA from 1 species
CGAAGCGGUGGAGCAUGUGGUUUAAUCGAAGCAACGCGAAGAACCUUACCAGGUCUUGACAUCCGAUGCUAUUUCUAGAGAUAGAAGUUACUUCGGUACAUCGGUGACAGGUGGUGCAUGGUUGUCGUCAGCUCGUGUCGUGAGAUGUUGGGUUAAGUCCCGCAACGAGCGCAACCCCUAUUGUUAGUUGCCAUCAUUCAGUUGGGCACUCUAGCGAGACUGCCGGUAAUAAACCGGAGGAAGUGGGAUGACGUCAAAUCAUCAUGCCCCUUAUGACCUGGGCUACACACGUGCUACAAUGGUUGGUACAACGAGUUGCGAGUCGGUGACGGCGAGCUAAUCUCUUAAAGCCAAUCUCAAUUCGGAUUGUAGGCUGCAACUCGCCUACAUGAAGUCGGAAUCGCUAGUAAUCGCGGAUCAGCACGCCCGCGGUCGAAUACGUUCCGGGCCUU